rnacentral:rRNA from 1 species
GAUGAACGCUGGCGGCGUGCCUAAUACAUGCAAGUCGAACGCAUUGUGGUUGAAAUGAUAUGAAGAACUUGUUCAGAUUUGAUCUUCAACAUUGCAAUGAGUGGCGAACGGGUGAGUAACACGUGGGAAACCUACCUCUUAGCAGGGGAUAACAUUUGGAAACAAAUGCUAAAUACCGUAUAAUAAUUAAAACCGCAUGGUUUUAGUUUAAAAGAUGGUCUUGCUAUCACUAAGAGAUGGUCCCGCGGUGUAUUAGUUAGUUGGUGAGGUAAUGGCUCACCAAGACAAUGAUACAUAGCCGAUUGAGAGACUGACCGGCCACAAUGGGACUGAGACACGGCCCAUACUCCUACGGGAGCAGCAGUAGGGAAUCUUCCACAAUGGACGAAAGUCUGAUGGAGCAACGCCGCGUGUGUGAUGAAGGGUUUCGCUCGUAAACACUGUUGUAAGAGAAGAAUGACAUUGAGAGUAACUGUUCAAUGUGU